UUUGAAUUUUUUAUUUCCCCCACACCCAAAUUAACUCCCCUACAUCUAACCCUAUCUGCUCACUUCUCCCUUUCCUAAUCGAUCUAGGAUUCCUCUCCACCUUUUCCCCCUAAACUGAUCAACGCAAAUUAGUGUCUCGGUCUAUAGCUCUGGUGGAAACCGACCUCGUUCAUUAAGAUAAGUUCAAUCUCUCUUCUUGAUUUCUUUUUAUUUCCAUUCGAUUUAGUUCUGAAAUUUUCUGUUGUAAGUUGUUUUGUUUAGUGUGGUUUACUUUAUAUCUAGAUAUUUGGAGAUUGUUAGGUUUUUUUGCUUUCUUUGCACACAACCUGUCUAAUGAUAUGCUACAUAGAGAUAGAGUAAAGUAAGAUGUCUUGACACUGAAUUGUUACAAGAGAACAAGGUGUCUCCUUUGCUAUAAAUCGAAUCCUAAUUGUUCGAGCAAUUGCUAAACAUAUAUUAUAAGCAGCAUUGUUUUUAUUUUUUUCUUAAUAAAACAGUAGUUUUUUGCUUCUCUUAUAAUGCCAAGUGACAAAUUGAUAAUUAGUAUUGUGGCCAUCUUUGUUGAGCUUUAAAGUGAGCAUAGAUAAAGCAACACUUAAAAGUUUUCUACUCAUUUAGAAUUCUGAUAUGGCAAUGAAUGGCCUGAUCAGAUUGUUAUGCCAAGCUAAAGUUUGUUUUUCAAUAAUGAUUCACAUUAAUAUUUUCGUUGUAUAGUUGGAAUUUGCUUAUUGGAUAAUAAGAUCAUGACAACACUCAUAAAGGCUUGUGAUACUACAGGAGGAAUUGAUCCUCAUAUGCAUUUGAAACAGAAUCAACUGACUCUACAUGAACAGACCUGUUGCUUUUAGACAAAAGUUCAGAAGCUUGCUCCUAGGGUUGCUUUUAGACAAAAGUUCAGAAGCUUGCUCCUAGCAUGUGUUUUCAGUGGCAAGUUGACACAGAAGCAAUGAAGCCCUCGAUAAAGGGGGUACCAAGGGAUUGUGACUUUGAUCAUUUGUAA
rnacentral:lncRNA from 1 species